rnacentral:rRNA from 1 species
UACGUAGGGGGCAAGCGUUGUCCGGAAUCAUUGGGCGUAAAGCGAGCGUAGGCGGCCCGAUAAGUCUGCUGUAAAAGUCAACGGCUCAACCGUUGAAAGCCGGUGGAUACUGUGAGGCUAGAGUACGGAAGAGGCGAGUGGAAUUCCUGGUGUAGCGGUGGAAUGCGCAGAUAUCAGGAGGAACACCAAUAGCGAAGGCAGCUCGCUGGGACGUUACUGACACUGAGGCGCGAAAGCGUGGGGAGCGAACAGG